rnacentral:tRNA from 1 species
UCCCUGUUGGUCCAGUGGUUAAGACUCUGUGCUCCCAAUGCAGGGGAUUCAGGUUCGAUCCUGGUCAGAGAA